rnacentral:lncRNA from 1 species
UGCUAAGUAAGUGAGACAUGGAAUUAGAGGUAUUACAUAAAAAACUGCUGGCCUGAAAGAAAGAGCAUAAGUCAGACCAUUUCUGUUUAUUUCACUGCCAUUUACCACCUUUUUUCCGAUUAGAAAGUCACUAAAAUACAGAAAAAAAAGGACUUUAAUGUGAGAAAAAAGAGCAAAGAGACAACAAUCUAUAGUUCCAUUUGGCAUGCUAUCACCAUUAAUCUCCUGCAAGACAGUUUCAAGUCUUCUUGUAAACAAAAAGAAAAAAUGAAAGAAAACACUUAAAAAUAAUAAAGGAAAUAAGUGCCAAAAGAUCCGACCCACAAAAAAAAAAAAAACAGAGAAACAAGGUGUGAAUUCUCAAAAUGUUCCAAAGUUCUAAGACAUGCCAUCAACAAGCUGCACUUUGGAUCCAAUGAAACAACAGCCCAAACCAUGAGCAGCAGAAAACAACAUGAUGCAUUUCAACAGAAUCAACAGUCAAUUAAGUGGAUCACAAGGAGCGGUUCUUGAAAAUAAUUCAGCAAUAGAAUAUUUGAUAUUGUCUUUCAAUUAAUUGAAGCCUCUUCUCAAAAAGUUAACGUUGUAAGGAAGGACAGCUUGAUGGCAACUGUUGUGUUAGGGUUCAACAUGAUGUGUGUUGUAAAGAAAUCUGAAAGACAUUUGAAGAUGACAACACGCCUAUCUUCCAGGGAGGCUCCAAAACAAUGCUAAAGGGUUACUAAAAUGGAAGUCCAGCAUACUUGAAUGGUGAAAAAUCAGCCAGAGCUUAUAUUUUGAGGCUACUACCAUUGCAGUGUACUAAAAUUUAUUAAAAACUCGCCAAAGGUAAAUGCCUCGCAUACUUGGAAUACAUAAAUAGACAUGAAUCACCCAAGAGCUGAUAUUUUGAGGCAUGCUUCAACAUUUAGAGAAAAGAUAGCAUUUCAAAGUCGCUGUAAGAGAUAUUAACAUCUUAACAAAUUUAAGGAGUCUCCAAAUACAACAUCAGAAACCAGCAACGAGAUACAUGCAACUUCUACAUGAUAAGCAGAUGGGAAGAAAAAUUCAAGCCAACAUUCACAAGAAGGAAUUUGAUUGUGAUCCAUCAAAAUCAGUACCUGGGUGAUUGAUGAUGAUCAUAGGACUUGACAGAUAGGGAAAAGAAGAUCCAUGCAGGAAGCAUAGAUGCCAACACAAUAAAGGUCAGAAACCCUCCACCGAGCCCAGCUACCAGAUAGGCCUGCCUUUACUAUAGUUAGCAAAUUUUUGAAACUAUCAAAAUCUAGAAGCCACAAAGAUUUCUUCUAAAUAGUAAACUGAAUACCGAAGUUAUGCAAGCAUAAAAUCCAAAUGCUCCCCAAAACCUUGCUUCUUCAGAUAGAGCCUACAAAAUACACUCCAUUUCAGAUAUCUGCUAGCUUCAGUGAUGGAUGGUGCUCCUGCAUUAGAUUUAACACCCAUCCAGAGGACGCAUACACAACUCCAACAAACUCCAAGUAAGGCAUAAUUCUACCAAGCAAUUUAAAAUAAGGGGGGAAAUAUAUGAUUAGCCAUACAACACAAAUCAAAGAGUCCAAUGAAUCAAAUCACUAACAAAUGUGGUGGGAUUGCAUAUUUUAUGUAAAGUUUAUCUUAUGAAGAUUGCAAUUUGACCCAUUAAAGGGGAGUCUUGGAAAGAGAAUUUGGAAGCAAUCUUGCCAUUCUACCUUUUAACAUGAAGUUGCCUGCUGUUCUCAGGGCUCAAAACGCAACCUUGUUGGUUGCAAGCCACGAGUUUAUUUUUACCAUUGUGCCAAGCAAUGACCCAUAGUUAACAUCAUAAGGAAAGAAACAAACUUUUACAAGAGAGAAGUAAAACGUGUCCAUCUUUCAUAUAAAGUAGCUGAUGCAAUUCAAGAAAACAGUUUUCAUUCAACAAAAUAGUUUUCAGCAAUUCAAUUUUGGAGAACUUUUUACAAUUAUCAAAUAUCCUAAUUAGACCUAAGAUUACAAUUAAUGCUUUGCUUUUCAAUGAGGCUCUGUUAAAUGAGAAGCUCAACAACACAGUAGUAAAAGUAAAGAAAGUGACCAUAAAUUGGCCACUGAUCUCUACUAAAUGCCACGCAUAUCAAAUGUUUGCUCAUCCAUAGCAAUCAGAGGACCUCUUUCCCCAUUUAUGAAAACAACUUAUCUUCUGAUCAUGUUUCUGUAUUGGUUUUCAAUUCCUAAUAAAUUGGUUUUCAUCUUAUUUUCUCAUAUUUUGAUGCAGACUUGCAUUCAGAUCAAUUAUUUUGAAAUUUCUUUGCAUUGAUGAAGUCAGUAAAUGUUGCUGCACAACUUGAAUGCCAUAUUAAAUGGUAUCCUCACUCUUAUUAGUAACCAAAGAUAUAUUCCAAAUGAAUAUGCAACCUAGAAUGUAAAGCUAGAAAAAAUCCCGAUUUGCAAGCACUUCUAGUCAUGUGUGUUAAAUGUAACAAGCAUGGCCUGAAUAAGUAAUCAAUUGAAAAUUAUAUGAUAUCUAAUUGUACCUCUGAUUUAUUGAUGACUGAAACAUCUUGUGAGGGGGGGGAACAACCCCAAACAGUUCUUGGAAUCAGCAAACCAACAAGUGAGCUUGGGACAAACAUCAGGAAUGCCAGGUAUGGACGUGCAAACCUGCAUUAGAAUCUUGCAUGUCAAAGAGAACCAUGACCAACAGUUAUAACAUCAUCCUCUAGUUACUUCUGAGUAACAGAAGACAUUCAUGGUGUCCCAUGGAAGUUCAUCAUUAUAACAUCAUCAUCCUAUAGAAGUUCAUAUUUCUGUUGAAUACAAUGAAACUACUGAAAAAGACCAUGACCAGCAGUUAUGGAGACCCCACGCUCACAACUGGUGAAAUUUUUCCCAUUUGAAAUUCCAAGGAGAAUAAAAGAAAAGAAACAGAGAACAAACUAACCAGCUCAUCGCAUAACUAGUGAAGAACAGUCUCACAGUGGCAAAGAUAACUGGGAAAAUAAUAGCCAAUAUAAUUCCAGCAGCAUGGAAAAGCAUUCCUUGAAAGUAAACAAAUUCUGAGUAUUAUUCACAAAAUCUUCAAUAUGCAUGUCUUGUGUUGUGUGUAUGGGGUAUCAGAGCAUGGAGAUUCAGAUGAAAAAAAUUCAUAUAGAAAUCAGCAGUAGAGAGUUAACCUUUCAAAAAAUCAUAGAAGGUUGCAAAACAAGAACGUGACCUAGAAUCCCAAAAAUGCAAAAGGAAUGGCAUGACAAGAAAAAUGACAAUGGGAAUACUAUGAAGUACCAGAGCUACCCUUCUUGAAUAGAAUAUCUGGAAAAAAAAACAUUAAAGAUAUAAGGACAAUGUUAUGAAUUAAUCAAGGUCACAAUAAGAUCACACAGUGAGUCAUAAAUAAGUUAAAAUUUAAGUACAAAUAAUGAAAUUGGAUAGAGCAGAUAUCAUAAAUUUUGCAACAUACAAUGAACCAUGAUAAGAAAUCAAAGAAAACAGCCCUCUCAUCCUUGUAGUCAUUGAUUGAAGCUUUAAGAUAUUCUCUCUCUCGAGCACUUUGUAGCUUAGAAGAAUUUGUGAAGGCUUUCAGUAUGCUGAACAAAUUGUCUCCACGUGCUUGCAUGAUCCCAGGUCUGGUGUGAGUACAUGCAGAUGCAUAAGAGGAUGCGUUUAAGAAUAAAGUGACAAAAGAAUUCCAAUGAAAUAUUUAUAUGACGAAAUGGCAGAAGUAAAGCAUACAGUAAUUUGUCCAAUGUAUCAUAGGAUGUAUGGUAGUAAUAACCACCAAGAAGAAAGAUAAUAUCCAGGCUUGGAAUGUUUCCGUGAU